rnacentral:lncRNA from 1 species
GGAAAGUCGGAAGGUGAUAAAAUGAUUAAAAGCGAGUUACGGGAGGUUUUCGAGAGCUAUAGAAUCAAAAUCUGCAUUCUGCAAUUUUGAGCUCUCGGGGACCGGUCCCUGGUGGGAGAGACCGGUCCCCGAACGCGUAUGAGGUGAGACAGCCGAAAAAUCGGCUAAGUCCUGAGAAAUUAGCUCUCGGGAACCGGUCCCUGCCUGAGAGACCGGUCCCCGAGAGACCGGUCCCCCAAAGGGAGACCGGUUGCCCUGCGCGCAGCAGCUCUGGCUGCGCGGGGAGAGCCUUCGGGAACCGGUCCCUGAAGGAGAGACCGGUCCCCGCCUGCGCGAUCAGCCCAUUCCAGGCUGUGUGAAAGAGUGAAAGUUGAGGGGUUUAUUUGCAAUUAUGCAACCCAAUAGCUAUGUUAUGAGGGCUAAUGAGAUUUUCUCUCAUUCUCACCCUCUCAAACACUCUCUUCUCUCCCUCUCUCUCUCUAGAAGGCAAAGG